CAGGGGAAGGCGGCGCGGAGGUCCGUCCGUCCCCCGUCAGCACCGAGCCGUCCUCCGCAGUCGCCGUUUGGACGGGAGCCGGUUGGGAACGCGGUCGUCUCUCUGUUUGUCGCUCUGUGCGUUCGUCGAUUAAACAUUUCCCGUUCGUUUCUCGGCGCUUCUGCCCGCGGUCGUUUCUGCAGCUCCGGUAAUCCACCCCGUCCCCGUGCCCACCGCCAGGUAGGAUGCCACUGCAUUUACAGUGCAAUCAAAUGAGAAUGUGACAGAGACUCUGAAAUCCGUGAAACAAAAGACUGAGGCUGAAGAAGCUCCACCUGGGGAAGUCAAGGUGGAGGAAACCCCUGCUGCUGCUGUUGUGGGAAAGGAGGCCAUCCCUGCUGAGCCAGAUGAGCCAACAGAGCAGGCUGCGGUGAGCGAUCUGUCCCCCAUGUCCAUCUCCCAGCCUCAUCUGGGCCAUCUCUCAUCACAGUGAGUGUGCUUGCUGUAUUUCAGCCAUCCCCUCCGUUCCUCAUCAUGGUGGUUUUGUCAGCGUCCAGCUGUGUCACAGCAUGCCUCUCCAGCAACAUUUGCUCCUGUUGGUCCCAAAAUGUAAUUCCUUUUAAGACUGGCACUUUAGCUGGAAGUUCACCUGCAUGGUCUUACAGGCAGUCAGAGGUCAGUGCAGAGCAUCGAAAAAAGGUUUUCAGAUAUGCAGAUACUCUAGCCUUGCAUGGAUCUUUCUGUGGAGCUGAUUGUGUUUCACAUUCCUGCUAGGGGCAAUGGCUCAGGCACUACAAGCCUGAUUGUGACAUUUGUUAACAUAGGGGAACAGCGUUAGGAAAGCGUACAAACAGAAGUGAAGAGUGGCUUGGAAAUGGUCUGAAGCUCUACUCAAUCAGUGUCAGGUUGGUUGUGUGCUGGUGGUGUUGGACCACUGCAGAAGCCACUCAUGAUACCACGCAAACUGUGUGCAGCAGAAAGCUCUGGAGUACAGCUGUAGUUUAAAGGACUUCUCAAGGACAGAGAGAUGAUUUUGCCUGGAUAGUUCCAACUGUGUCACUGGAUUAAAAACUGGUAUCAAAUGUGCAUAAAAUGAAAAGGCAGGCUGAGCUUUAGUUGCAGCACCUGCCUGGUUACCAUUUCUCCCUUGCUCCUAUCUUCCUAACAGGGUAAAAAGAAUUUGUUGUAGAUGGAAAUGGGGACAGUUUUCUGCAUGCUGUUCUGGAGAACUUUGAGGGAGAGGAGGAUGAUCCUUGUCUAAUCCUUCCUAUUUGCUCUGGAUUCCUACCUGUGAGAGCAGCAUUGUAACGGUAGAGGAAAGCAAUGCCAAUGUGUUCCCUAGAAUUAUGAAUUGGACUUGCUUCUAAUUAAAUCAUGAAUAUUGAGUGUGUUUAA